GAUGAACGCUGGCGGCGUGCCUAAUACAUGCAAGUCGAGCGAACAGACGAGGAGCUUGCUCCUCUGACGUUAGCGGCGGACGGGUGAGUAACACGUGGAUAACCUACCUAUAAGACUGGGAUAACUUCGGGAAACCGGAUCUAAUACCGGAUAAUAUAUUGAACCGCAUGGUUCAAUAGUGAAAGACGGUUUUGCUGUCACUUAUAGAUGGAUCCGCGCCGCAUUAGCUAGUUGGUAAGGUAACGGCUUACCAAGGCAACGAUGCGUAGCCGACCUGAGAGGGUGAUCGGCCACACUGGAACUGAGACACGGUCCAGACUCCUACGGGAGGCAGCAGUAGGGAAUCUUCCGCAAUGGGCGAAAGCCUGACGGAGUAACGCCGCGUGAGUGAUGAAGGUCUUCGGAUCGUAAAAAUCUGUUAUUAGGGAAGAACAAAUGUGUAAGUAACUAUGCACGUCUUGACGGUAACUAAUCAGAAAGCAACGGCUAACUACGUG
rnacentral:rRNA from 1 species